GCCUUGCGGCGUCUUACCAUGCAGUCGAACGAUGAACCACUUCGGUGGGGAUUAGUGGCGAACGGGUGAGUAACACGUGGGCAAUCUGCCCUGCACUCUGGGACAAGCCCUGGAAACGGGGUCUAAUACCGGAUACUGAGCCGCUUGGGCAUCCAAGUGGUUCGAAAGCUCCGGCGGUGCAGGAUGAGCCCGCGGCCUAUCAGCUUGUUGGUGAGGUAAUGGCUCACCAAGGCGACGACGGGUAGCCGGCCUGAGAGGGCGACCGGCCACACUGGGACUGAGACACGGCCCAGACUCCUACGGGAGGCAGCAGUGGGGAAUAUUGCACAAUGGGCGAAAGCCUGAUGCAGCGACGCCGCGUGAGGGAUGACGGCCUUCGGGUUGUAAACCUCUUUCAGCAGGGAAGAAGCGAAAGUGACGGUACCUGCAGAAGAAGCGCCGGCUAACUACGUGCCAGCAGCCGCGGUAAUACGUAGGGCGCAAGCGUUGUCCGGAAUUAUUGGGCGUAAAGAGCUCGUAGGCGGCUUGUCACGUCGGUUGUGAAAGCCCGGGGCUUAACCCCGGGUCUGCAGUCGAUACGGGCAGGCUAGAGUUCGGUAGGGGAGAUCGGAAUUCCUGGUGUAGCGGUGAAAUGCGCAGAUAUCAGGAGGAACACCGGUGGCGAAGGCGGAUCUCUGGGCCGAUACUGACGCUGAGGAGCGAAAGCGUGGGGAGCGAACAGGAUUAGAUACCCUGGUAGUCCACGCCGUAAACGGUGGGCA
rnacentral:rRNA from 1 species